rnacentral:rRNA from 1 species
UACAGAGGGGGCAAGCGUUGUUCGGAAUUACUGGGCGUAAAGGGCGCGUAGGCGGCUGCUCAAGUCGGGUGUGAAAGCCCGGGGCUCAACCCCGGAACGGCACCCGAGACUGGGCGGCUCGAGACCGGGAGAGGUGGGUGGAAUACCCAGUGUAGAGGUGAAAUUCGUAGAUAUUGGGUGGAACACCGGUGGCGAAAGCGGCUCACUGGCCCGGUUCUGACGCUGAGGCGCGAAAGCGUGGGGAGCAAACAGG